AUCAUCCAUCCAUCAUCCAUCCAUGGCACCCAUCCUUCCACCCACCCAUCUAGUCUGACUGUCCAUCCUUCCAUCAUCCAUCCAUCCUUCCUUCCCUCCUUUAACAAAUGGUGCCUUAGGUCUGUUCUCAGCUCUACUCUACAGAAUCCCCGACGCUGGUGCACUUGCCAGGAAAAGUCUAACUUCUAGCAAAUUCUAAAACAAACAAGACCAGCCUCCGUGCCUUCCUCCUCCGGGCUCUGGCCCCCGGUAUCUUUCGGAUGGGGUUGGCCUUCGUUUGUCUUCCCUUCCUCUGGCUUUCCCAGCCACUGGAGCUGCCUUGAGACCCUUGUCCCCUCUCAGCCAUCCCCUCCCAGAGCCUUCCCCGUGUCAGCCCGGGGCUUUGGUCCCCCUCUUUGCCUGAUGAGGUCCAUUUCCUCACUUGGUUUCGGGGUGAAGUGUUUCUCCCCCAGAGGGAACUGAAAUCCUGGCUUCUGCAUUCCGUUCCCUGGUGGGUUCCACGGUGUUCUGGUGUCUUUGUUUGAUGCCCGUCUCUCCUGCACAAUCAUGAACGUCGUGAGGAUGGGUCCCCGCCGCUGUGUUCGUGGGGUGGGACCAGAGCUUGGGGCUGCCUGGCGGUGUGCAUCUUCCAGAUGAGUUUGUUGAGUGAUGGCGGUGACAUGCAGUCAAAGCUCAGUGAGAGACAGUCAGGAGCCAGCAGCUGAUGACACGACUCCCCCGCCCUCCAGCCUACCCAGGGCCACCAGAAGGGAGCCAGCCGCGAAGGUGGAUGGACUCGCCACUGGGAUGUUGGCUGAGGAUCUGAAAUGUGCAUUGGCAGGGACACAAGGUGUGGCGAGUUGGGAUGGAGCUUGCACCCCGCCAGGGCCUUUGGCAAGGCUGUUGGUGACCACCAUGUCCACACUUGGGGCAGCUACUGGGAGAGCUUUAUCUUGAGUCUAGGAGGCGGGUUAGAGGCGGGGUCUGUAUUCCAAUUCCUGUCCCACCAGCCGUGUGACUGUGGGCAGGCUGGGCUUCUCCUUCCCAGGGGCUGGUAAUGGCAUCUCCCUCGUGUAGCUUGUAUGGGGUAGUUAGCGCCUGGAGAUGCUGGUUCCCGUUGCCAUCCAGGCUGCUCAGGGCUGCUCAGGGCCACGUUUCCCUCUCCACCUGGCUGCAAAGCCCAGCGACAGUCCCAGGGCCUGACCACAGCCAACUCCAGGACGUCAGUUGUGGCCAAUGGACUUGAUUUGUGGCUCACUGACGGCCACCUUAUCUCACCUCUUCUCUCAUCCAAGUGUCUGCGCACGUGGCUGCUCUGGGAGCAUGGAUUGCUCUGGGCGCGUGGCUUGCUCUAAUCCAUGUUCUUGGAAACCACCCUUGGUCUUCUCCAUCAGUGGUCUGGUGUCUUGCCUGAGUCGUUUGCGUGUAGCUGAUUUUGCCUCUUUAAUGGAACUGAAGGACCCUAAGGGUCGGGGCACCUCUGAGCCCCCCAGACCACAGACAGCACAGGAUGUGUGAGGAACAGAUGGUCGGGGGACACGCCGCGGGUCCCCGAGCUGCCUCGCUCCAGCCGACGGGAAGAACCAAGUUCCACUUGAUUGCUGGCGUGGCAGAGGCUCCAGAGCUCACAGGCUCUCUCCAAAAGUGUGGCUUUCUUUUUCCCCAACACGUGGGGCACAGACAAUGUUUGCCCACCUCUGGUUUCUGUGAAAUGGAUUAUGGGUGAAAAUGACACCGGCCAAUUCCAGGCCCGGCCCACUGACACUUCUCGCACGUCUUCCUCCGUCCCCAGGACUGGAGAGGACUUGGAAGUCCCCGGGGAUGGCAGAACCACAGUGGAAGGAGCCUGGGUCCCUGAGUGGCCGGGUGGAGCAGAGCCUGCCUCUGUGCCCACCCUGCCCUCUGCACCCUGCCAAGCUACGAGGGUGCCGGGAGCCGCAUGGAAAGGUGUCGUUCUGUUAAAGCAAGUAGAAGAAACUCAUCUGCCCCCCACCACACACACUUUCUUCAAAAAAUGGCUUUUUUCAAGGUUGCUGAUGAAUGCGACGGGACCCACUGUGUCCCAGAGACCAUGACAGGCAGUCGAGACUCCUCACUCCAUUUGAGUUUCUGUCAGCCCUCAAAGGCGGGCCCGGUGUUUGGUCUGUUUUGCAGCUGAGAAGACUGCAGUUCAGAGGCACAGAGUGACCUCCACAGGUCAGUGGGGACUGCAUGCUUGAAUCCCAUUCCCACUGGGACGUUGAUGGAUCUAUUUUUGGUAUCGUGUCACCAGCCCACAUAGAAGGACAUUAAAGAAACAGAUGUAGGAAAUAAAAACUUUCUCACCAGCA